UACGUAGGGGGGCAAGCGUUGUCCGGAUUUAUUGGGCGUAAAAGAGCUCGUAGGUGGUUCGGUAAGUCGGAUGUGAAAUCUCCAGGCUCAACCUGGAGGGGUCAUUCGAUACUGCCGUGACUAGAGGUCGGUAGGGGAGUGUGGAAUUCCUGGUGGAGCGGUGAAAUGCGCAGAUAUCAGGAGGAACACCCGUAGCGAAGGCGGCACUCUGGGCCGAUACUGACACUGAGGAGCGAAAGCGUGGGGAGCGAACAGG
rnacentral:rRNA from 1 species